GACGAACGCUGGCGGCGUGCUUAACACAUGCAAGUCGAACGGAAAGGCCCUGCUUUUGUGGGGUGCUCGAGUGGCGAACGGGUGAGUAACACGUGAGUAACAUGCCCUUGACUUUGGGAUAACUUCAGGAAACUGGGGCUAAUAUCGGAUAGGAGCUCCUGCAGCAUGGUGGGGGAUGGAAAGUUUCGGCGGUUGGGGAUGGACUCGCGGCUUAUCAGCUUGUUGGUGGGGUAGUGGCUUACCAAGGCUUUGACGGGUAGCCGGCCUGAGAGGGUGACCGGCCACAUUGGGACUGAGAUACGGCCCAGACUCCUACGGGAGGCAGCAGUGGGGAAUAUUGCACGAUGGGCGGAAGCCUGAUGCAGCAACGCCGCGUGCGGGAUGACGGCCUUCGGGUUGUAAACCGCUUUCGCCUGUGACGAAGCGUGAGUGACGGUAAUGGGUAAAGAAGCACCGGCUAACUACGUG
rnacentral:rRNA from 1 species